GUGUUUAAAACAGUUCCAAGCGAGGUCUGUGAGAUGAAUACAUUGGCCUCAAUGCCCCUGAACAGCAUCCAAAGGUCAAGCUGGUGUUGGAGGUCACCUGGGAGUUGCUGGGGGCUCUGCUGGCAUCACUAGACAGGCCUUUGUUCAUGUGCACUGAAGCCAUCAAGGACGCACACUCGUGAAGAAUGGAAGCAGAACACACUAUGAGGCAGCUGUUUCAUAAUUGGAC